rnacentral:rRNA from 1 species
AGAGUUUGAUCCUGGCUCAGCAUGAACGCUUGCGGCAUGCCUAACACAUGCAAGUCGAACGGAGAUUACGAAAGCUUGCUUUUGUAAUCUUCGUGGCGGACGGGUGAGUAACGCGUGAGUAACCUGCCUCUCAGAAGGGGAUAACGUUCUGAAAAGAACGCUAAUACCGCAUAUAAUCACGAAACCGCAUGGUUUUGUGAUGAAAGGAGUAAUCCGCUGAGAGAUGGACUCGCGUCUGAUUAGCUAGAUGGUGGGGUAACGGCUUACCAUGGCGACGAUCAGUAGCCGGACUGAGAGGUUGAACGGCCACAUUGGGACUGAGACACGGCCCAGACUCCUACGGGAGGCAGCAGUGGGGGAUAUUGCGCAAUGGGGGAAACCCUGACGCAGCAAUGCCGCGUGAAGGAUGAAGGUUUUCGGAUUGUAAACUUCUUUUGUUAAGGACGAAGAAUGACGGUACUUAACGAAUAAGCUCCGGCUAACUAUGUGCCAGCAGCCGCGGUAAUACAUAGGGAGCAAGCGUUAUCCGGAUUUACUGGGUGUAAAGGGUGCGUAGGCGGCUAAGCAAGUCAGAUGUGAAAUACACGGGCUCAACUCGUGGGCUGCAUUUGAAACUGUUAGCUUGAGUGAAGUAGAGGCAGGCGGAAUUCCCGGUGUAGCGGUGAAAUGCGUAGAGAUCGGGAGGAACACCAGUGGCGAAGGCGGCCUGCUGGGCUUUAACUAACGCUGAGGCACGAAAGCGUGGGUAGCAAACAGGAUUAGAUACCCUGGUAGUCCACGCUGUACACGAUGAUUACUAGGUGUGGGUGGAUUGACUCCAUCCGUGCUGCAGUUAACACCAUAAGUAAUCCACAUGGGGAGUACGACAGCAAGGUUGAAAAUCAAAGGAAUUGACGGGGGCCAGCACAAGCAAUGGAGUAUAUGGUUUAAUUCGAAUCAAUGCGAAGAACCUUACCAGGUCUUGACAUUCAAGUAACGAAGUAGAGAUACAUUAGGUGCCCUUCGGGGAAAGUUGAGACAGGUGGUGCAUGGUUGUCGUCAGCUUGUGUUGUGAGAUGGUGGGUUAAGUCCAUCAACGAGUGCAACCUUUGCUAUUAGUUGCUACGCAAGAUCAUUGUAAUAGGAAUGCCGUAGACCACACGGAGGAAGAUGGGAACGAAGUCAAAUUAUCAUGCCCUUUAUGAUUUGGUCUACACACGUAGUACAAUGGCCAUUAACAAAGGGAAGCGAAACCGUGAGGUGGAGCAUACCCCCAUGAAUGGUCCCAGAUUGAAUUGUAGGUUACAACCCGCCUAUAUGGAGUUGGAAUUGCAUAGUAAUGGUUGUAUCAGAAUGACACGGAGAAUAUGUUCACGGGAUCUGUACACGCCGCCAGUCA